rnacentral:rRNA from 1 species
AGUGAACGCUGGCGGUAGGCCUAACACAUGCAAGUCGAACGGCAGCACAGUAAGAGCUUGCUCUUACGGGUGGCGAGUGGCGGACGGGUGAGGAAUACAUCGGAAUCUACUUUUUCGUGGGGGAUAACGUAGGGAAACUUACGCUAAUACCGCAUACGACCUACGGGUGAAAGCAGGGGAUCGUCGGACCUUGCGCGAUUGAAUGAGCCGAUGUCGGAUUAGCUAGUUGGCGGGGUAAAGGCCCACCAAGGCGACGAUCCGUAGCUAGUCUGAGAGGAUGAUCAGCCACACUGGAACUGAGACACGGUCCAGACUCCUACGGGAGGCAGCAGUGGGGAAUAUUGGACAAUGGGCGCAAGCCUGAUCCAGCCAUACCGCGUGGGUGAAGAAGGCCUUCGGGUUGUAAAGCCCUUUUGUUGGGAAAGAAAAGCAGCAGGUUAAUACCCCGCUGUUCUGACGGUACCCAAAGAAUAAGCACCGGCUAACUUCGUG